AACGCGAAGAACCUUACCAGGUCUUGACAUCCCGCUGACCGUCCUACAGAUAGGGCUUCCCUUCGGGGCAGCGGUGACAGGUGGUGCAUGGUUGUCGUCAGCUCGUGUCGUGAGAUGUUGGGUUAAGUCCCGCAACGAGCGCAACCCUUAUCUUUAGUUGCCAGCAUUCAGUUGGGCACUCUAUAGAGACUGCCGUCGACAAGACGGAGGAAGGCGGGGAUGACGUCAAAUCAUCAUGCCCCUUAUGACCUGGGCUACACACGUGCUACAAUGGCUGGUACAACGGGAUGCUAGCUCGCGAGAGUACGCCAAUCUCUUAAAACCAGUCUCAGUUCGGAUUGUAGGCUGCAACUCGCCUACAUGAAGUCGGAAUCGCUAGUAAUCGCGGAUCAGCAUGCCGCGGUGAAUACGUUCCCGGGUCUUGUACACAC
rnacentral:rRNA from 1 species